rnacentral:misc_RNA from 1 species
GUGGAUAUAAACCUUAUAGUCGAAUCACGCAAAUUUUAUAUUCUUCUUCUUCUAUUUUAUAUACUAUGUGAUUAUACAAUUAUUUAUGUAUUUUAAAUUUACAUGCCUACUAUAACAAUCAAUCAGAUCUAAAUAAAUUUUUACCGUUUAUUUGUCAUCAUUUUUUUUGUAUGUUUAAUGGAUAAUCAAUGAAGAAAAUAUAUUUAUUGGAUAUUGGAUAUUGGAUAAACGUAAUACAUAAUUAUUUUGAAAAUACAGAGCUCAAAAUGUGAAUAUGAACGUGUGUCAUUUGACAAGAAUGCAUCUGGCUGGUGAUCCCUCAGCACCAAGCAACCUCAGAGGCAAACAGUGGACAUUAUAUAGUCCUGGUUUAACAUUGUCGAGUUUUAGGCCCUCCACCAGAAUGAUUUCCUGUUAUAUUUUUUGCAAUGUCAGUUUCAAAGUUUUAACAUCACCUUUACCCUCUAAAUCUGAAACUAAAAAUCCAUAUAAAAAAAAAAUCAUAGCAAAAAUUAUUAUUUAGUCCUUAUAUUUUAAUAAAAUUAAUUAUUUAAUUUUUUUAUUUUGAAAAAUAUACUAUUUAAUCAUUCUAUUGUUUAGUCCAUAAAGUAUUUGUCCUCUCGUUAUUUCAAAAUGCAAAUUAUUUUUCCCAACUCAACUAUUUAGCCCUUAUAAUUUGAAUAAUAUAACUAUUUAAUCCCUACAAUUUUAAGUAAAUUCAGUCAUUGUUAACAACCAUUCUAUCUUCUUUGACUUAUUUGACUCAUAAAAAAAUUAAUGAAAGAGACUAAACAAUUCAUAAACUAAAUGAGAGACUAAGUAUUAUAUUUUUCAAAAUAAAAAGAAUAAAUAUUUACUAAAUAAUAAUUUUAAUUUUAUCAAUUUUAAUUAAAAAAAAUUAUUUUGUUUUUGUUUCUUAUUAAGAUGACUGCUUUCUAUAGUGUGUUGCAAUUGUAUUUUAUGGUUAGAAAUCUUAGCAUUUCUUACACACGAAUGCUCUCAGAUUUACAAUUUAAGAGUAAAAAAUGAAGAAGAUCUAAAGAACAUAGAACUGUAGAAGGUGACCUCCAGUGUGCAGUGGUCAGGUUUGAAAAGGGUAAGAAUAGGAAAAUAUCACCGACCGAAUUCAUGGGACAACAAAAUAAUUCAAAUCAUGGGACCCGUUCCAAUACUCGUUGCAGUGCCUUCUUGAUACCUUCCUGAUCGAGUGUGGUGGUCAAUUGAAUUUCCUGCACCUGAAUCAUACAAUUACAAAGCCAUGAGAGACAAACGGCUAGUUAAGUUGACCGGCUGCGAUAAGUUGUUGGCAAUUAAUAUUCGACUUCCAAAAACUCAAACACAAACACAUGUAGAGAGAGUCCAAAAGAAAUACUUGCCUGCCGUCCAGCACGAGCAAGAAGGGUGAACUUCCUAUCGACGGGUGGCGCAUUUGAAAGCCAAAGUUGUAGGUCUUGUGAAACAACACGUUUCUCAAACCCUUGUCUAUUGAUUCUAACACCAUCUACACCUUCUUCAAUUAGUAGUUCUUGAAUUAUUGCUUCCAGCCCUGGAAGAGGUUCAAUCGUACUGCUGCUAUUCAUGGCCAAAGGAUCAGGAUCAACUGAACCAUCCUGAGCAAUUACUUUAUCCAAAGUUUCCAGCAAUGGAUCUUCUUCCAACUGCUUGAUUGACAAUGUAAUCCUUGACUUUUGCCGAUCAAUAUUAAUAAUUUUGACCUUCACUUCAUCACCCUCGCUAAGGAUGUCUCUAAUGUCUUGAACUAAAUCCCAAGAAACCUCUGAGACAUGUACUAAUCCGGUGAGAUGAUAUAAACCAUCAGGGAAGAGCAAGUGAACGAAGGCACCAUAAUCCUCAACAGAACCCACUCUUCCUGCUAAAAUAUCCCCUACAUUAACUCUUUUAGAAAACUUGGACCAGGCAGCUUCCCGCUCAGAGAAUAUCAAUUUUCUGUUCUCCUCUUCCGCUUGGAUUAUCUUGACAGAAAUACGCGAACCAAUUAAACCUUUUGCAAUAUCAUGGAUAGUUUUUUGUGGUUCUACAAAAAAAGAACAUAAAAUUAAAAAUAACAGUUCAAAGGCUAGCACUAGCAAUCACAAGUCCAGUGAUCCAAAUCAGUUUUCCUUUAUUAUGAAUAAUGUAUUGUGGACAGUAAUAAACCUUCAAGCGGAAAAAUAAGAAUGAAAUUUAUAGUUAUCUCCCUCUUUCCCCUACUAACCUAUCACAAUUCCAUACUAGGUCCUUUAAUUCUCUGCGUUGUGCAUUAUCAAACUAUCUUAAACGUCACUCUCUCAUUUUAUUUCCAAUAUAUGUUUUAUGGAUUCUUUGGCGGAUUUGAUCAUUCUAAUCUUAUCCAUUAUCGUAUUACCAGACAUCCAUCUUAACAUUUGCAUUCUUGCCAUUCUUGGCUUGCCACACUUAUUUUAUUUUAUGGGUGUUGCACCGUAAAUGCCCAAAACAUAUAGUUGAUGUAACUACAGUCCUAUAGAACUUACUUUCACUUUAUUAGGAUAUUCCGAUCAAUUCAUUACACUCCUUCAUUUCAUCGUCUUGAUUGAUCAUAUAAUUUACAUUCUCAUCUAAAACUCCAUUCUUUAGUAGUUCAGUUUGAUAACCUAGUUACUUGAAUUGAUUCCAUUUUGGCAUAUUAAACAAUAGAAAUUGAAGAAAAUUAUGGGAAGUUCGCGAGCUCAUAGGGGUGGCGCCAAUUGUUUUAUAGAUAUACUAACCAAUAUUUGAGAGUUAUUCACCUUAUUGAAUUUUAUCAUACGCUUUCAUAACGAGAUAACAGGAGAAAAAAAAAUGAAGUAAGCAUUGAGACCAAGUACAACCAGAAACUAUGUAAAAGAUACCUUUACAAGAAUGCGAUGGACUCAACUGAGGGAAAGGAAGAAAACCCAGAAGAGAAUAAAACCGAAUUAGCAAGCCUCCAUUAUUAAAUCCUUCAAUCCUGCCCUCAUAGAUGGAUCCACUAUCAUUAUAAGCCCUUGCUGCCUUCCAAUCAGCGGACC